UAUUUUCUCUGAGUUCUGGGCUGCGCACACAAUAACAGAGAACCCAGGGUCUAACACAUAAAAUUUCUUAAGUCUCGGUUUCCCUCCGCACUGGACGGCGGGUUUAUUUUUAGUAAAGCCAGGGCUCAUUAGCAAAAAGGCAACGACAAAGAGGUAAGGAGCAACCAGAGCCGCCCGAUUGCAUUUCCAUGGGUCAGAUUAGAACAAAUCUUACCCGAACAAAUCUUGGACCCCAAUCCAACGGACCAAAUAGAUCAUGACCAACAUGGGCCCCCAACCACUCGAUCAAAGAUCAACGCCCAGCUUGCAUUGGCUUGAACCGCUAUAUCAUCGUUUAAUCCCGACCGUUAAUCUCAAUACCCACGGUCGCACACUCUCUUCUCUCCCCAACUAGCCCGACGACCGCGCCGCCACCCACUACAUGGUUGAAACACACCGGUGGCAAGAAAUCGGGUGCCAAAGUGCCCAAAUCGGCAAAUUGAUAUAAGAAUUAGGGAGAGGAGGCUGAUACAAACAUGAUGGAGGUAUCACACACCUUGAAUUGUGUUGCGCCGAGCCCUAUCGACCACGGACGGUGGCUUAACGGCAAUGGCAAUCUCCCCAACCACACCGCGGACACUACACAGCAAAGGAGGCAAAGCGUGGGCGUAACGGCCUGGAUGUCUACUACUGCUUGCCCUGUCCGUUCUGCGGAUAGCUGGGAGCUCGGCUUUUAUGGCUCUAGGAGCCCGCAUGGUUGCGUAGCAGGCGGAUGAGACGGUUGCAAUAGUCACCAAGAUCACCGGAGGGGGGUUGUUAAGCUUCGCGCAGAUCCAGCUCGGUGUUCUGUUCACAGCCGAACCAACUCAGCGGAGACGAGGUACCUGACGAUGAGGGCCCACGUGCCAUCGACAGAGGCAAUGCGCGCAACGGGGAGAAUGGUCACUGAGGCUGCCAGAUGGGGCUCGGUUCGACAGCAGAGGGGGGAAACGGCGCGGGCGGACCAGGGUCGCCAGUGCGCGCGAAGGGAAUGGUGGGCUGAGGGAGAUUUGGCCUAGAAUGCGGUUUUCUGUUUUCUUUCUUUUUAUUAUUUAUUUUUUGCUUUAUUUUCCUAUCCAAAUUUCCAGUUCAUUUCAGAAUCAAAUUUCCAAAUUCCCAAAUAUCAAUCAUAUCCCUAAUGAAAAUAUAACAUCUACUAUUUAUAUAUAUUUGUCGGUGUUUCGGACC